AUAUCAGUUGGGGAAACCUUGUCACCCAGACCAACAACAAACUUUGCAAUUUGUUUGACAUUUAUUACAUAUUUGGCGUCUUCAGUGUUUGGAUUUAUUAUCUUUGUGCACCUUGCUACCUGAAGAGGUUGCUCCUCCUGCAUCAUUUGCUUAUCAGAAACAAGGUCCCACUGGCUGGGUGCAGCCAAGCCAGUGUCGGACUCCUUUAUACCACAUAAAUCAUUGACUUUCUUAGC
rnacentral:misc_RNA from 1 species